rnacentral:rRNA from 1 species
CCCUUAGAUGUCCUGGGCCGCACGCGCGUUACACUGAUGCACUCAACGAGCAUAUAACCUUGGCCGAGAGGCCUGGGUAAUCUUGUUAACAUGCAUCGUGAUAGGGAUAGAUUAUUGCAAUUAUUAAUCUUGAACGAGGAAUUCCUAGUAAACGCAGAUCAUCAAUCUGCAUUGAUUACGUCCCUGCCCUUUGUACACACCGCCCGUCGCACCUACCGAUUGGAUGGUCCGGUGAAGCCUCGGGAUUGUGGUUCUUGCCGCUUUAUUGUGGCGUGACCGCGAGAACUUGUCUAAACCUUAUCAUCUAGAGGAAGGUGAAGUCGUAACA